CCUGUAGGAAGGCUUCCUGACUUCCAGGCUAGCCUCCCGCUGGCCCGCCUUCCCAGCGCCAACCACACACUUCCUUCUGCCGUUAUUAUUUUGCAUUUAUUUCCGUGAUUGCCGGAUGAGCGUCUUUCUCUAUCCGUGCUGUCUCCCACCAGGAUGGCAAGCCUGUCCUCUGUCGAUGCUCCCUGUGCUAUCUCUACCACCCGGCAGGCUCCUUGCCAGGGAACUCUUGACAAAUACAUGUUGAUGUACAGAUAGGGUUUUGCUGCAUAGGCUGCCUUGUACUUCAGCCUUCCUGAUUCUACCUCCUACGUGCUGAGACGGAGUAUGACCCACAGUGCCCACUGACAGUGAAGUUCCUGAGCUCUCCUUAGCAUACAUAUCCUUCGAAGACGAUGCUGUAGUCACCAUCUGCCCAGACUACAGCUCUGGGAGAACACACUGGAGACCAUGCUGUCAGGCUGGGAAUCGGGAGAGAAUUCCCAAGCCAGAGGCCAUGUGUGGAUCAAAGAGCACAGAGAUCCAGUCUUGAAGGCGAUGCGUUCAGGCAGGAGUGGGUCUCAGUGGGAUCUCCAACCCCCAAGCCCUACCAUUAUGUACACAGCCGUGUAUACGGAAGUUUGUCUGCGUCCUAUGCCCAGCAUUCCUGUUCAGCCCAUUCUCCUCCUGACCAGCAUCAUUUCUGAGUCCCGUCUCCCAGUUACCAUCAUUUCUCUUCUCUCCUGUCUGACAUCUGAUCCUAAGUAAACAAGACACUAAUAUAACAAUGAUAGACUCAAAUUAUUUCAAGUAAUGUGUGCACCGAGACGGUGUACACUGAAACUGUGUAUACAGGGAUACUGAAAUUGUGCAAACCGAGUGUUGUGCUUUGUAAAAAGAUAAGGAAGGAAGGAAUGUGUUUGGUGGAUGUGUAAUUAGGUGUGGGGGAGGGGUGCCUCUGCAGGCCCAUGCUGAAGCAUCCUUCUCCCUGAGGGACCAGACACACGAAGAUAUAGUAUAGAAUAGAGUUUAUUCUAUUCUAGAGUUGAGAAGAUAGUAGAGACAGAGAAAGGCAGAGAGAGAGAGACAGAGAGAGAGAGAGACAGAGAGAGAGAGAGAGAGAGAGAGAGAGGUAGAGGUAGAGGCCAGCCAUGAGCACAUUGGAGAGAGAGGGGAAGGGAAUGGGGAGAGAGGUGGGGGAGUGGGAGAGAGGACAGAGUGAGAGCAGGAAGGUAAGAGAGAAUAGUGUGGGCAAGGAGACUGUGUCCACUGAGUGUACAGGGAUGUGGAUACCAUGCAAUAGAGAUCGAUAUACUUCAUUUUUAAAGUCUUAUGUUUCAUAUUUGUUUUUAUGUGUAUAA